CACUAGUCUUCGUCGCUCCACCAUUACCGACGCUGUCGCCGCCGCCACCACCGCUACCGUUCGGCCUGUUUAGGAAUUUCAGGCACACUCUGAGAAAGCGAGUACACUGAGGAAGUCCUUUUUGACAAGGAAAAAGCUCCUCGUUUUGUCCUUACCAUGGCAGCUAGGUUGCAGUUCGAGAAUUCAUGUGAAAUUGGGGUCUUCUCCAA